UACGAAGGGGGCUAGCGUUGCUCGGAAUCACUGGGCGUAAAGCGCACGUAGGCGGCUUUCUAAGUCAGGGGUGAAAUCCCUGGAGCUCAACUCCAGAACUGCCUUUGAUACUGGAGCUUGAGUCCGGGAGAGGUGAGUGGAACUCCGAGUGUAGAGGUGGAAAUUCGAUAGAUAUUCGGUAAGAAACACCAGUGGCGAAGGCGGGCUCACUGGCCCGGUACUGACGCUGAGGUGCGAAAGCGUGGGGAGCAAACAGGG
rnacentral:rRNA from 1 species